rnacentral:rRNA from 1 species
AUUGAACGCUGGCGGCAGGCCUAACACAUGCCAGUCGAGCGGAUGAAGGGAGCUUGCUCCUGGAUUCAGCGGCGGACGGGUGAGUAAUGCCUAGGAAUCUGCCUGGUAGUGGGGGAUAACGUCCGGAAACGGGCGCUAAUACCGCCUACGUCCUGAGGGAGAAAGUGGGGGAUCUUAGGACCUCACGCUAUCAGAUGAGCCUAGGUCGGAUUAGCUAGUUGGUGGGGUAAAGGCCUACCAAGGCGACGAUCCGUAACUGGUCUGAGAGGAGGAUCAGUCACACGGGAACUGAGACAGGGUCAAGACUCCUACGGGAGGCAGCAGUGGGGAAUAUUGGACAAUGGGGGAAAGCCUGGUCCAGCCGUGCCGCGUGUGUGAAGAAGGUCUUCGGAUUGUAAAGCACUUUAAGUUGGGAGGAAGGGCAGUAAGUUAAUACCUUGCUGUUUUGACGUUACCAACAGAAUAAGCACCGGCUAACUUCGUG